rnacentral:snoRNA from 1 species
GGCCUUCGAUGAUGUCCCGUGGACGAUGCCGGGCGGACAGGGCUUGGCCUCCGGACCGCCGGAGGGUGGCGUUGCCUUCAAUGAUGGCGGGGGAUCAGCCAAGCCCACAUCAACCCUGCUCCUUUA